AUUCAUAAAACCGAGGCCGAGAGGAAGAGGGAGGCGGCCUCCGACCCGCCGCCAGCGGCGGGCAGCGCCCGGACUUUGUGAAUGGAGCGCGCGGCGCCUUUCGCCGUCUACCCGCGGGCCCAGCCUGCGCCGCGCCUCCAGCCCGACACCGGCACCUGUGCCGCCGCUGCACCCCGCCGCUAGGCGGGCGGCGCCAAAGGAAAUAGCCGGCUGAGGAGGCCAGGGCUCGGGUUUGAGCUUUCAUCCCUUGGCACCUUCGCGCUUCCCCGCGUGACAGCCCCGUAGGUUUUUCCCGGUUACCCAAGUGGAGAGGGGACCGGAGCGCUGCUGCCCACCCAGCGGGGCCUGACACCUCCUAGCCCCAGACUCCCCGUGCGCUUUCGGCCCGGCCAGUCCUUUCUGAAUAUGCGAUUCCUGAGACGUUAGCGUAUGCAUUAGCGUGAUCGAUUUUCAUCUAAAGCCAUUAAAUCAGUUUUAUAGCUUCCCCAAGAACGUGGGCAACCCCCUGCUUGGAAGAUGAAAGAGAAAGUCCUCCCGCCCGAAGCCCAGGAUCGGAGUGAGGUGUGGGGUUUGUUGCUUUACUACCCAAAGGGAGGCAUUAAUUGCCGGAAUGGUGUUCCGAGGGAGGAGAGCAGGCUGCGCUCCUGUCCACGCUUCCUAAAAGAUGUUUAUUUAACCCUGGUCGGGGGAAAAACAAGGUUUUCGGGUUUGGGAAACGUCUUCACCCUAUCUUGCAUAGUUGUGAAUUAUCCUUUCAGGAAAUGACAGGGUCCACAUUUGUUGCGGAGCUGGACCCUGGAAAAUGUACCCGCAAAGAAUGACCUUUUGAAAGGACUUCAGCAGCUCUGGGUCCGAUUCAUGUUUCUGGGCAUCCCUUUUUCCUGGUCACGUAGCAGCCCUCCCCAUCCCCAUUUCUCUUUUGCAUUUAAUUUCCCAGAGGCGGCUUUUGGCUGGGGGUUUGUGCACGCACGCGGUGGGGACCGUGCAGAAGCCAAAAAUCAUUCGCCCGACAUCUUGCCAAGUCUUGUUAGUGAGAAUUAAUCACAGAGCAAGGGAGUUACAGGACUCGCUCGCAGUUUCGGAGGCUGCAGAGUAGCGUAUUCCAUUCCGGGGCGCGCGUGGAAGCCCGACCCAGGCAGCGAGGGCACCGGUACCCGCCGGGUCUCUCCCGCCCAAGCUCACCCUCUCCCCAUGCCUUUGUUCCGGGCGGAGCGGCUUUCCCGAGCUCUCACCUCCGGUCCCGGGGGCCAUCCCUGCACUCCCCGACCGGAGCUCGGCGGAGCCUCCACUUCCGAGACCUUCGACUGGCCUCGUCCCCCACUGGGCCCCGAAUGCCUCGACCCCCGGGCCCUACUCGGAUGAGCUGUAGGGGCACCGCUUGGGCAAGGUGAUAUUUCCUUUUGCUCCGGGCUCCAAAAUGGCUUACGAUGGCACUGCACGGAUCCUUUCUCUUUUUAAAAUUUAGUAUUUUAUUCAUCAUGGAUUUUUUGCAUUUUUUUUUCUUUUAAAGAGGCAUUGCAUCAAGAUAUUUCUUUUGAUUACUGACUUUUCGGCGCCCUUCUUAAAUGUUGCGCUCAAGGCUUGUGCUCACCCUAGUCCAGGCCCUGGAAGGAGCCACAACUGUGGACUGACCGAGGCUGCCCGGUGGCAGGACCCUGGGCGUCGGGCACUCCGGGUGGGAGAUCAGUGGUCAAAGCCGCACGGCGUGGCCUCCCUGUGGGGAGGGCAAAAGGUGUCUGAGUCCAGUUUCCCAUUCUGCUGAAUGGGACUGUGGGGGUCUAUCUAAUAACUCGCUUUCGAUAAGGAGCAAGGAGCCCCAGGGGCCCCGACAGUCCAAGGCUGAUUUUGCUUUCCCGGGUUGCUCUCCAGCAGCUCAGAAAUCCGCCGCCUGCCAGGACCCAGGGCCGGAGCUCUCCCGGCGCAAGUAAACACUGAUUCCUUUACAAAGGCUUUAACAAGACAUUUCUGGGAAAAGCCUCUCAGGAGGCAGGUCCGGGCCAAUUUCACGCGUGUCGCAGGAGCUGGGGAGACGUCCCUGGGGCGCACGGGUCGCGCUCUGGGCCAGCUUUUGUCUACCCUGUUCUGGGGUCGCCUUCCCCGCCGGACCCGCGCCUGGCGCUCACGUGGCCAGUAAAUAACAGUCAAAUCCAGGGGGAGGAAAAUGCCCAUAGAACAAAGAGGCUUGCUUUCUGCACCUGACAGUAAUCGCUGGUGGAGAAGCCCUAAAUCCCGCAGGCGAUUCACACGGAAAGGGGUGUGGGAGGGCGCGUGUGAGUGUGUGUGUCCACGUGUGCGUGCCCGCGCCUACGCGGCUGUUCACUGGAAGGGAGUCACAGCUUGGGACUUAAUGUGUUUAAGCCGAGAGCCACUUGAAUUGCGAAAGCGAAGGCCUGAUUUUUAAAAAAGACUAAUUUUUAAAAUCCACACCCCAUUGCCAACUCAGGAAUUGGCCUUCAGUUGUGUGAAUUUCAGCAAAGGAGAUUUAAGUUACCAUAUUGUAUUUAUCGGGAUACUGUGUAAACACCCUAGAUAUAUAUUUUUUAAUUGUAUGUUUGUGAACCAUUGGUCCACAGUUAAAUGAGUACAACGCGAGGGCUACUCCAUGCCGGCUAUAGAUAAAACCUGUCUCCAAUUCGUCUGCAGUCUGUGGACGAAACAUAACCAUUUUAAACAGGAACCUUGUGAAACAGCUUGUCAAUGAGCAGAUCUUGGAGAAAACAAAGGCAAUUUGGAGCAAGACACGGAAUGUCAUUUCAAAGUUAAUUUAAUUAACUAAGGCAUAUUUGUAGGAAUUGGGAUGGGAUUGCCCAAGGAGAGGUCUUUUAUUUAUAUUCAGCAGUAAACCUCGGGGUGAAAGAACUUUUAAAAAUUCGCUGUGACAAGUAAAUCCAGCUUCUCUUUCAUCAGUCAGUCCUUAGACCGACCUUAUUAGUCACUGUCAGGCUCCAGCAAAACACCUGCUCUUGUUUAGGAACAUUUCUUUCCAAUUAGGAAGUUGUAUGAUCGGGGAAUCUAAAGCCCGGAGUAGAAUCCCCAGAGAGAAGUACAGCUUCUAUUCUAGUUUUGAUGCCAACCUCUGACUCACUGCUCUGUCCCAAAGUGCCUGAAUAAAACUUGCCUGAAAAAUCAUUAAUGAAUUAAUUAAGGUGGUGAUGGAAAGAAAAGUCCUGUGGCUUUUCCUUUCUUGAGCAAAGAGGCAGCCUUGCUAUUACGUCGAACUGGAACAGGAAUAAUCCAUUUUGCACAGAUCUUGUUGGUUAGGCUUCUUAGAUCAACUAAUUAGGGAACUUGCCCCCUGGUAGUGGGAAGGCUCAAAAGAACUGGGAGACCCUCUCCUGCUCCUGAAAGCAGAGAAGCCUGUGGUCUACACAGCGUGUUCUUAGGCAACGUUUAGAAAUGGAAUUGAGAAAUGCCUGUCCUUCCCUACGUACCUCUGCCCAUCAAGUCAGGACUGAAAGCGAAGGAAAGUCUUCAAAGUUCACACUGAACCUAACCAAAAACUCUCAAAGACAUAGCCUGAGGAUUUCUUUUUUUAAGUCCUGACUUUGUUACAGAUCUUUUUUGUUUUCUAUGCUUGAUACUCUAGCACUUAUUAAUGAUUUAAAAGGCUAUGUAUCGGCCAGGCGAGGUGGCUCACGCUAGUAAUCCCAGCACUUUGGAAGACCGAAGUGGGCAGAUCACCUGAGGUCAGGAGUUUAAGACCAGCCUGGUCAACAUGGUGAAACCCUGUCUCUUCUAAAAAUACAAAAUUAGCCAGCAUGACGGGCGCGCACCCAUAAUCCCAGCUACACUGGAGGCUGAGGCAGGAGAAUCGCUUGAACCCGGGAGGUAGAGGUUGCAGUGAGCUGAGAUCCCCUCACUGCACUCCAGCCUGGGCGACAAGAGCAAAACUCCAUCUCAAAAUAAAUAAAUAAAUACAAAUAAAAAAUAAUAAAAGAUUAAGUUUCUAACCCAGGGUCUCUGCAGAAAGGUUUUAAUGCAUUGCUUUAUUUACUGCUUUAUUUUAAAACUAUUCAAUCUAGGCUAUGCCACCAUCUAGCUUGGUGGCCUUGGGCAAGACAGUCUCCUUUGGCCUCACUUUCUUCACCUGCAAAAUGAAGAGUUUGGGCAGGAUGGUUUCUCAGGUCUGGUCUAUUUCCGACCCUGUAUGAUUCUGAGCAGAAGAAGACUUCUCAGCUCCGAGUCCAAGUUUCAUAGGUUUCCCAUCUCGCCCUCUGAAGAGCCAAGCACACUAUAAUGCCAUAAGAUAAAGGACGAUCUCUAGCUCCUCCUUGUCCCUGCUUUAGAAUAUAAACUCAUGGACAGCAGAGCUCAUAGUUUUUAUUUAUUUGUUUAGUCACGUGCUAACGUCCCAAGCAUUUUGAUAAAACGUCUUCAAAAUUUCAGAAACAAAUUUUGGAAAGAAACACUUCUCCAAACGGGAUAAAAAUGAACUCGGAGGCUGGGCAUGGAUGGUGGCUCAUGCCUGUAAUCCCCCAGCACUUUGGGAGGCUGGCGGAUCACUUGAGGUCAGGAGUUGGAGACCAGCCUGACCAACAUUAAAAAUACAAAAAUUAGUCAGGCAUGAUGGUGGGUGCCUGUAGUCCCAGCUACUCGUGAGGCUGAGGCAAAAGAAUCCCUUGACCCGGAGAGGCAGAGGUUGCAGUGAGUCAAGAUUGGGCCACUGCACUCCUGCCUGGACAGGGCGAGACAGCGAGACUCCAUCUCAAAAGACAAACAAACAAAACAAUACAAAACAAAACUAGGUUAUUUGGGGUCACUCUAGCUGUGCAGAUUCUCUUAUUCAUUCAACAAACGUGCUAGACUCAGCAAGAGGUGCGGGAAGUAGGGGGACAGAUUUGUCCAAAACACUGUGCCUUCAAAAAGCUGACAGUCUCAUUGGUCUAGUCAGGGUGUGAUUGCCACUGUACAUUGCCAGAAAGCAGGAUCUAACAAAGUGUCAUUAGAGAACAAACAGCAUGCCAGGAAGAUUCAGAAGAGAAAGGGAUGGAGCCGUGUUGUGAGAUUAGGGAAAUGGAGGAAAAGGCCAUCAUGAAUAAAGUGCAUUUCAUCUACUUAAAUGUUAUCCUUGAAAUGUCCUUGAGUUCUCUUGUAGGUUUUUUUUUUUUUUAAACUGUUAUCUCACCUCUGACAUUCAUUCUGCCCUUGUGCCUUGUAUUCUUUUCCUUUCAUUUGUUAGCAUCUCUCUUCCCCAGUGGGUUUGCCUGCUAAAAAUAGAUGAGCAAUUGGUGUGAAACUACAAGGGAGCUAAGAUGAUGCAAAAGCUCUGUAGAAAAUCUGUGCCAUGGAUGAGCAACCGACCUAGAUGGUAGCUGACCUAAGUAAGGGCCCGACUCUUUCAUUGCCAUCUUAAGCAAGUCAGUUGUUCUGUACUUUGAUUUUACCAUCUGUAAAACAAAGGAAAAACAAUGUAAUUAUUGUUUACAUUUUAUAUUUACUUUUUUCAGGACAACAAAAUGUCUAAAUCACCUUUCCAAGGCUUCAACAAUGAAUGUAUUUUCCAAAUCAAUGUUGGAGUACAUGGUCAGAAAAGAUGUCUUUUGGACUUGUGAAAUUACUUAUAUAAAAAUUCUUACCAAGAUGGAAGCAUAAAAAACACAUUUAUUUAUAUGUUUACUAAAUCUUCUUUUAUUGAAAACAAUAAGACAACCUGAAAGCAAGUCUAUCAGAGAAAAUCUGGGACUUAUGUCUUCACUGACAAAAUAAUAAAUGAGACAAAGUGAUAGAAGACCUUUGUCAUGACACCUGUUUGCUACCAGAGCCCCAGGCCAUCGUCAUCCACUGAUGUCUCCACAUUAAUUCUGCAGAGGUCCUGGACAGUCUUCUCUGCCCUGUCUAAUGGUCAGUUAAUUCUCCUUGUAAGCACAUCAUGGCUGACCAGGUGCUGGACCGCGCAAAGAAAGGUGUCAGAGCUUUCAGCUUAAGCCUUGAUUGGGUGGUGAGUAGGUCUCCUGCAGCUAAUCAGUGGCUUUAGAAACCCUGGAGUCCUUCAGAAACCCUAAAGUUCUUCCUUCUGAUUUUUCUGGUAGACCAAAGGAAAAGGCCAACAACAAACAAUUUCUAAAUAAGAAAUUUCCACCUUAGCUAAAAGCAAAAGGCCUUUGAUACUCUAUAAGAUUGAUCAACUCACUUCAGUUGAAAUAAUGGUUUUCUGAAGUCAAGGCAUGAACAGCCUUUCCCCACUGGAUGGGAUGCUCAGAUUACCAGCCCUGGAAUGAAACAAAAGGAGAAGACUGUCUCACCCCACACUUCUCAACCAUUGGCCAUUCUGAGAUGACACCUGCAGAGCCACAGCCCCACCUGCCCGAGCACCCACGGGUGCCUUGGUCAUCCUGCACCAUGGAGCUGCUUGUCUCUCCUCUGUGUAAUCUAAUCUUCUAUGAGUCCAGUUUUUACAUGUUUAAAUUUCUUUUCCUUUUGUUUUUAGUUUACACAUAAUAAUUGUACAUAUUUAUGGAAUACAGACUGAUAUUUUCAUACAUGUAUCUACAUUGUGUAAUGAUCAAAUCAGGGUAAUUAGCAUAUCCAUCACCUCAAAUAUUGAUCACUUCUUUGUCUUGGGAACACUCAAAAUCGUCUCUCGUAGCUCUUUCAAAAUAUACAAUAAAUUCUUGUUAACUAUAUUCACCCUACGGUGCUAUAGAACACAAGAACUUAUUCAUCCUAUCUGGCUGUAAUUUUGUAUUCUUUAAGCAACCUUCCCCAUCUUCCUCUCCCUCAUCUAAUAACAUUCUCAGCCUCUAAUAACCACAACUCCACUCUCUACUUCCAUGAGCUCAACGUUUUUUUAGCUCCCACAUAUGAAUGAGGACAUGCAGUAUUUAUCUUUCUGUGCCUGACUUAUUUCAUUUAUGUAAUCUAAUUUUAAAACAAUUAUUUGGGCUCUCCGGAAUCAGUAAUACAAAAAGAAUACAGCAAAAUGUGCUGUUUUCUUUUGCAGAAAAGAAUUAUAGUCUCUCUCUACGUUUUCCAUUGGAAUUAGCAUAACAGUCCUCAAGGGUUUACCCACUGAGGGAGACACCAAGAGUCCCCUUUAAGCAGAGGGUAAUUACAUCCUGCUAUUCAGCCCAUUUACUGGAGGUUAACUCAUUAGCACCCCGCCAACUCCGUUUUUAAUCUAAUCUAUUUCUCUAUCUCCUCCCCUAGACUCACAAUGCUGUGUGUCCUCUCUGUUGCACCUAAAACUCUUCAUCAAGUAACCAGGCGAAGAGGUCUGUCUUCUCUUCCAGAAGCCCAAGAUCCCUUUUCCAAGGACUGUCUGGAUGCCCCUGCCUUGAAUCUGAGUUUUAUCUUCUGCAGACCUGGGCUUAAUUUGCUGCUCUGAAAAAGGACACAGGCUCUGUAGCCAGACAGAUGUGGGUUUUGAUGCCAGAGCCACCGUUUAAGUAGCUGGGGAACUUUGGGUACGUUUCUGGCCAUUGCUUUUCACAUCUUGUCACUGGGAAUGUUAUUAUUAUUUUAUCUAUUUUUUUUUUUGAGACGGAAUCUUGCUUUGUUGCCCAGGCUAGAGUGCAGUGGCUCUAUCUCAAUUCACUGCAAGCUCCGCCUCCCGGGUUCACUCCAUUCUCCUGCCUCAGCAUUCCAAGUAGCUGGGACUACAGGUGCGCACCACCACGCCCGGCUAACUUUUUGUAUUUUUAGUAGAGGCGGGUUUUCACAGUGUUAGCCAGGAUGAUCUCGAUCUCCUGACCUCCUGAUCCGCCCGCCUCGGCCUCCCAAAGUGCUGGGAUUACAGACGAGAGCCACCACGCCCAGCCAGGAAUGUUAUUAACACCUAGAUUCAUCAUUGGGAACAUUUUCAAAAAAUGUAUUAUUAUUCCUUAUUCCUUUCUCUUAGACAAUUUUUUCUUUUUAAGCUGAGAGGUGUCAAUAGGGCAACAUUUCUGAUUUAUACAUUGUUUUCUCCAUGGAGUUGCAUUUGGCAAAACUCCAGGUGCAUGGAAACACACAGGUGGGUCUUUGUGCCAUCAGGCUGGGCUGCUCAGUGGGCCCAGCUGUUAGUCCACGUGUUUGCCUGUGGGUCAACAGAACAGGAAAGGCUCCUGGAUUCUCUCUGUUGCUUUCCAUCCACCUGGACUGCUCCACCUCCUAUCCUCUCUGUCUCCUUGAUUCAACUCGAUGCUACCCUCAUUUAUCCAAGCAGAGAAAGGUGCUCCUUUCCUCUUUUAGUUUUCUCUCACCCUUCCUUCUUUUCACAUCUAUUUCUUACUGUUUCCUGCACAGUGCUUGUCUUUUCUCUGACAUUGUAUGAGCAAUUUCUUUGAUACAAUGGUAGUCUCCAAUUAUGCUACUGGGCAAGCCAGCCUAGAGGUUGUGGAACAGAAAGGCUCUCAGACCAACUUAAGUCACUCAUAUCGCAAGUUUUAUUGAAUCAGCUGAAAAUAUCCAGUACUUUCAAGGGGAAAGAUGUGAGAAAGGUUCACCCACUUAGCUUAAGGUGCAAGCAGGUGGCAGGACCACACGACCCGAUCCUCAGUGACUCAGUGUUCAUGUGACCGGUGUUCUCUUCUACAUUGACCUUCCAAGCUCAUGGGGUAGUUACUUUGGAACAAGGAGGCUCUGCAGAGAAAACUGCCUGAAGCCAAAAUGAUCUUGCUCUACCAGAGAGAUAAAGGGGCAAGUAUGCCUGGCCAAUAAAGAGCUUGCUAAACAGCCAUUGCUUUUCUCUGUGUUUCUAGACAAAGCUCAUGUGGGGAGAGAUGGGAUUAAUGUAGUUUCACCAAUGAUGGCUGAUUCAGCAAUAAUGUGCCUGUCAUAUAGAGGUGGCAUAAUACACACGUUGUAACUUGGCCUGUUCAUCUUUUUUCUGACUUUAAGUGUCAGAGGCAUGUGAACCAGAGCAACUCCAUCUUAACUCGGAGCUGGGUAAAAUGAGGCUGAGACCUACGGGGCUGCAUUCCCAGUUGGUUAAGGUAUCCUAAGUCCCAGGAUGAGACAGAAGGUCAGCAUAAAAUACAGGUCAUAAAGAUCUUGCUGAUGAAACAGGUUGCAAUACAGAAGCUGGCUAAAACCCACCAAAACCAAGAUGGCCAAGAGAGUGACCUCUGGUCUUCCUCACUGCUACAUUCCCACCAGCACCAUGACAGUUUACAAAUGCCAUGGCAACAUCAGGAAGUUAACCUUUAUGAUCUAAAAAGGGGAGGCAUGAAUAAUCCACCCCUUUUUUAGCAUAUGAUCAAGAAAUAACCAUAAAAAUGGGCAGCCAGCAGCCCUCGGGGCUGCUCUACCUAUGGAUCAGCCACGCUUGUAUUCCUUUACUUUCUUAAUAAAUUUGCUUUCACUUUGCUCUAUGGACUUGCCCUGAAUUCUUUCUUGUGCAAGAUCCAAGAACUCUCUCUUGGGGUCUGGAUUGGGACCCCUUUCCUGUAACGUAAGCAACAUUUUUAUUUGUUCUAUUCUUUUUUAAGAAUUGUGAUAUAACACACAGAACAUAAACUUUACUGUGUUGAUGAUGUUUGAGUAUAAUUCAGCGGCAUUAAGCGCAUUCACACUGUUGUGCAACCAUUACCACUGUCCAUUUUCAGAACUUUUGCAUCACCCCAGACUAAAAACUGUGUGCAUUAAACACUAACUCCCCACUCCCCUCCCCUUAGCCCCUAGUAAUCUCGAUUCUACUUUCUGUCUCUAUGAAUUUGCCUAUUCUGGAUACCUCAUAUAAGCAAAAUCAUACAGGAUUUGUCCUUUUGUGUCUGGCUUAUUUCAAUACUUGGCAUAAUGUUUUCAAGUUCACCCAUGUUGUAGCAUGUAUCAAAAUUUUAUUCCAUUUUAGGGUUGAGUAAUAUUCCAUCAUUUGUGUAUACCAUAUAUUUUUUAAUUCACUCAUUUGUUGAUGAACAUUUGAGUGGUUUCUUUCUUUUGGCUAUUGUGAGUGAUGCUGCUACAAACAUGGAUGUUCAGGUAUCUGUUUGAGUCUCUGCUUUCAUUUCUUUGAGAGUAUAUACCUAGAAGUGGAAUUGCUGGGUCCUAUGGUAAUUCUGCUUAAAUUUUUGAGAGACCACCGGUUUCAUCCUUUUUUAAAAUCAGUGUUCAAUAUUCACAUAUUCUGUUUAUUUCUAUGGCUAACAUUAGUUUUUCUUAUUUUUUUAUAGCAAAAUUAAGUAUUCCUAAAUAUUGCAGCCAAUUCACCUUACAACCCCUUCCCAUAUUAUCUACCCAGCAGGCACUGUAAGGUCUGUUCUUGGAUACUGACAAACAUUCUGCAAUCCUCAGUCCACAGCUGUACACCAAAUAUUUGGAACAGAGAUCAGUUAACUGAUUAAUUACUAUGACUUUGUGCUCGGGGAACAUGCCAAGCACCAAUCCCCCACCUUCCCCACCCUGCCUGUGUCUCUGUUCCCUUUGUGUUCCCUACAUUCUUUCAAAUACCUGCAAAUCCACCUUCUCUACCACGCAUCAAUGUUGCUGGCUUCCAUUUCUUAUUGAUUUUGUAUGACUUUGAGGUUUCCUGCCUGGGUACCCAGGACCAUGACUCUCUCUCUGGAGAUACCCAUCCUGACUGAUACACCCUAGCCACCUCCCUUUACGCUCCCUCUACUCCAUCCUCAGUCCAAGAGCUUCAGGCACUCCAGUCCUGCCCCAGAGACGCAGGUUUCAUCCUCUCGCAUGCUUUGCAGGAACUUCUUUAUUUUAUUGU
rnacentral:lncRNA from 1 species